GACGAACGCUGGCGGCGUGCUUAACACAUGCAAGUCGAGCGGUAAGGCCCUUUCGGGGGUACGACGAGCGGCGAACGGGUGAGUAACACGUGGGUGACCUGCCCUCAGCUCUGGGAGUAAGCCUGGGAAACCGGGUCUAAUACUGGAUAUGACUCCAUGACGCAUGUUGGUGGGGUGGAAAGCCUUGUGCGGCUGAGGAUGGGCCCGCGGCUAUCAGCUUGUUGGUGGGGUGAGGCCUACCAAGGCGACGACGGGUAGCCGGCCUGAGAGGGCGACCGGCCACACUGGGACUGAGACA
rnacentral:rRNA from 1 species